AGGCAGCUGUCAGGCAGGAAAACCAAACACCACGGGUUCAAAUCUGCUCACAUAUCGCCAUUCAAUCAAAGGCGUGCUGUAUACUGCACCUCUGUUUAAUGUUGUUUGCCCAAUUAUUGUACCUGUUUUUUUACAUUUUAUUUAGAAUGUCCCAUUAUGUUCCCUGAUUACAGCUACUCCCUACAACAGCCCAGCAGAACUGAAGGUCAGUGAGUGUCCUCCGAUCCCCAAGCCAAUCCCCUCUUCACACCCAGCUAGCAGCCCCUGGAGGACAAAGGCCAGCCCUGCCGGUGUCUGCUUUGAGCUCACCUCUCCCUGCUGAUUUUACCUUCCUAACCCACAUGGGCACCAGAGCCAAUAAAACGCUCUGGAACCCCCAGUGAAGACCAGCAACCUGGCACAGCCAGGACACAAAGCUCAAUCCCCUGACUGUAUGACUAACCCUGAACAUCACACAGCUUUAUCAGAUCGCCUCGUGGUCAUCUAUUCAGGUGUCACGUUAGGGUCUCAUACACUCGCCAGACCCUGUGGUUGUCUCUUAAGAAGCAUUCCGUUUCCUUACCAACCAGAAGCCCUCCAUUUGAUGCUCCGUUGAUGGCGACUUUACUGGCCGUGGUGUAUUUCUCAUGGAUCAGAUAUUCAGCAGCACACUGGAAAUCAUCAAAACUGUUCUGUUUGUUACCCAGGCAACCACCUAGAGAGGGUGUCAGUCAGGGAAAUCAGGGUCAAACACCAGCAGUCAUAUUCAAAAGAAAUAGGAAUGUGUCUUCAUUGUGUGUGCAGCAUGAUUUUGUUUGGGGGUAUUUGUGCGCCUUUGACGAGAGUCUUGUCAUUUCUACUCUAAUUGUCUCGUCAUUAAAAUAUUGUUAUAGGGUUUACAGGGUGAAACAAAAAAUACUGUGGUCUCCCAGUCUUUAUCUGGCCACGUGGGGUCCUGUUUUGAUCUUGUUGGAUGUCUGAAGUGACUAAGAACAUGUGACACCUAUAAUGCCUGUUUUCAGCUGCAUACCUUUGUGCCAGGUCUGCCCGUACUCUCCUCCCCCGCGGAUGUUGGUGACGGCCAGGAUCCCACCCAGGUGUCUCACGAACAGCAGGUAGGCAACGCUGUAAAACAGCACAGGUGAGGGGUCACUGCUGACAAUACAGAGGCAGCAGCUGAAUGCAUAAGGUAGGUAAAUCUCUUGUCAGAAAGUCAGUAUGAGAUUAAAAUCUAAACACAUAUUAUACACUUUUAACAUGUAGCAGAUCCUACUUUUGAAGAAGGGGCGAUUAUCUAUACAGUAAACGGGGUCUGAGUGGGGUAAUGGAAAAAGUUUCUCCAGUAGACAUUAAUCCACAUCUCAUAGACUUGGCUGUACAGAUAAAUCGGUUUUUCCAAGUAAUUCCCUUUAACAGGAUUUGUGUCGGCCAGUAUGAAAUGAACCCAUGUGAAGGUCUCAGUUAGCACUCCUUCGAUAAGUUGCACGGUGGGGGAACUCGGAUCCACAGAUCUUUAAGGCUUGGCUGUGGAACUGACUUGUAGUAGGGCUGGAUGGAGGCUUCGAAUCCCCCGUAGCCGUACAGGAAGACUGGGUGGGAGCUGUCGAGCGUGAUCCCUGUCGCGUGCACCAGGAACAUGGGGACCUUCGUCCCGUCUCUGCUGGGGUAGAACACCUGGAACACAGAUAAUCGGGUCACUCCGUGUCCGGGGCACCCAAAUGCAGAAAGUUACAAUUGAAAACGUUUUAACCUCCCCGCUUUAAUGAUGUAUUCGUCUCAUUUGAGAUCUAUGUUUGGGUAGGAACUGGGCUUCAGCAGGGAAGCACUAGUUGAAAGUGUUCAGUGUUACCUGGACAGUCUGGUAGUCCGAGGGGUCGAAGCCCUUCACCUCCACCUGUCUGAACACUGUGGGCUCCGGAGUCUCUGAGGUCAGGUCACAGUGGUAGAUUAUUCCUAUAAAAACACACAGCAGGAGUACUUUACAUUGUGCACCUCUAUGUGGGCCAGCCCUUAUAAGAGUUUGGUGCUUUUGCAGCUUUACCAUGCGUUUCCCCAUAGAUCUACAAUGCAUUUACCAGAAUUUACCUUGUUUAUUAAUAUACUUCACCUUACCUCUCUGGUCUUCACAAUGCUUCCCUAUGCUUUCACUAUAUUGCAGCAGUUUAUCAAUAGCGUUGUAAUUGAAAUAUCUGAUUAUCCUCAAUUAAAAGUUCUCAGCACAAUUAAAGAAUGACCAGUAAUACCCUUAAGCAAACAUGGGCAAAGAUAUUGGAUUUGAAACCUUGGUUAGGACUUCUUUAGGAGACUAGUUUCUAGUUUUGUAAAAUGAAACAUUGCUUUUUAAAAUAAAACCAUGGGAGUUAUUUCGGGACUCUUGCCCGGCCUUCCUCCGUGUGUUCAGUACCUGGAGUGGUGAAGGAGUUGAACUGAUAGAAGAAGUCUGCGUGUUUCUUUCUGCUGCUCACCCCCACCACAGUGCCCACAGCCAGGGGCAGGGUCCUGAGGAACUCGCCUGUUCUCAGCUGGUGCAGCUGCAGCACGUCUUUCACGUCGUGCAGGUAGUUCACCAGCAGGAAGCUGUAAUUCACACAGGCCACGAAGCCUGCCACCGAAACCACAGCGCUGCGUUAGAAUGCUAAGUACUUCUCAGUGAUUCAUUAAUCCAUUCAGUACCGAAUGAAUUGUUCUUUGAAAAAAUCACAACACAAGCUGUAUUUAUGUAAUUUGAUACAUUCUAAAUCAAUCAUUCUGGCUACAAACUGCUGCGUCGUAUGUUGAGGACAGUCAUAGAUGUGUCUGUAAUCAGAGCAGUGAAAAUUCACACUGGCUAUGAAGCUCAACACAGAGAACAAGGAGCUUUAUCAUCACAGUUAAAAAUGCUUCACUUUUUUUUUUUUAAAUGAGCCGUCCUCAAAUGAGUAUAACGGAACUAUCAAGCUGAAUUGUUAAAAAAAACAAACAAAAAAAAAAAAACGAUACAGGUAUUUUCUGAACAAGUAGUUCUAAAUUAUUUUAAAUUAUUAAAUAACUUUUUUGAAUUACUUAUAGAAAUGCAUACAAAUAAAAAAGACAGCACGUAUCACCUGUGCAGUUUGGAAGCACGUUAAAACAAACAUGUAUUUUCAUUAAAAAAAAAAAAAAAGAUAUGAGGUCCUAGAGGUGUCCAAUCACGGUCCUGGAGGGCCAUUCCAAUCCAGGUUUUACAUGUAAAAUGAGAUAAUUAGCUACUUCAGGGUCUGGAUGGAGGUUGAAUUGGUUCAAAACAAGUUCGUAGAGGGUUGAAACAAAGACCAGGAGUGGAAAUGCUGACUUUGGCCACCCAAAGAUCUGUCAGCAUGUCUUACUUUCAGUAGUCACUGUUUCACUUCCUAGAUCAUUGCACCCCAGCCAUGACUAGAGCAUGUGACCUGCUAUAAAAUAUUCAUUCAUUAGAGGACACAGAUGGCAGGCUAAUGACAGGAAAGAAAGCUGCAGGGAGGGGAGAAUUGCACUCUGCUGGUGAAUAGAUGAAGAAGAGCUUCUUAAAUAUGGUACCAGAAAUAUAUAUUUUAUAAUGAAACAGAUCAGAACCUUUUUUUGGCUAAACCAGCCAUUCCUAAUACCUGGCUCUUACAGAGCCAUACAGAAAUAUCACCAAGGGGGGAAAAAAAUGGACUAAAAAGCUGGCGAACUGGUAGACUCUAGAUCGAGGGAACACAAAGCCACUUUGUGGCUUGGAACUUGGUUUCAGGAGACUGGGUUUCAGGCCACUGCAUGGGACACCAGGGGAAACUUGGGAUUUGAUAGAGUAAAGUUGCCUUAGACUGUGUUUCCCUGUCUCUUAGAGCCAGAUUUCAAGCCAUUAUUCCUAAAAAAAGUGGCUUUGUGUUCCUUCAGGUACAUUUUUACUGUACUUGCAUUUACUUAAGACUAUAGAUUGCCAGAUUGAACGAGAUCCUUCAAAAGAACCAUAUUGUGGAGCCGUGAAAUAGGUAUUUUCUGUACCACUCAUAGUGAAUGGGCGGGCGUGACAGGUAAGAGUCAUUUCAUUAGCUGGAAGCUAUAUUCCCUGUGCAUGUAUCCAGGUGAAAGGCCAGGAAGUCUCUCUUACCCAGGACAUCUUUCUCGUGCUCUGGGAUCAGUGUUGUCCACAGAGAGGGGUCUGGACUCUGCAGGUCAAUGUUGAUGAGACGGUAUCGAGGAGCGAGCAGGUUGGUGCGGAAGGUGAAGGCACUGCCCUCAUUGGUCACGUAGGAGUACUGAGCCUCAAAAUUAUCAAUGAGCUUCACCCACGGCAGAAUCCCUUUAAGAAUGUGAGAGAGGAACGAGAACUGAGAUGCUAUUGGUUUCAUACUCUCUCCCACUAACAAGAUAUACUGUAAUACCACAUCAACAACAAUGCACAUUUCACAAGGAUCCCAAAGCGCUUCACACACGCAAAUGAACAAUUAAACAGUUACAUUCAAAACAGAUUUUGAGUUAAAAAUGUGGUUUUAAUUGUUAACCAGUAAUGCCGCCGCUCAGCUGCUGCAGGUCACAGUACCACAGCCGAUUCACCGGCUCGCAUCCCUCUGUUAUGGACAGCAGCACGUACCGCCCGUCGUCCGACACCUAGGAUCAUUAUAGAUGGAGAUGAGUGCAUUUACAGAACCGCAAAUCAUGUUUAUCCAGAGAAAUCGCUUGGAAUGGAAAAACUGUUCAGAUUUCUUUGAAGGAUGUCUUUCGGCUCACCGUCGCGCUACUGUGCCACUUGGGGUGAUCAGGAAACUCUGCGACCAGGAUGUCCUCGGAUUGGCUGGUUCCGAUCACAUGGUAGAAGAGCUUUUGAUUGAUAUUGGUGGUGGUCUCAGUGCCUGUUCACAGAAUACAGAGGUAAAAGGAUUGACCAAUUCAAAGAUACAGGAUUUUUUAAUUUUUUUUUUUAUAGUUAUAGUUUUAAAAAAGUUAUGUAUUUAUUUAUCAAGACAAAUCUAAAACCAUUUUCUACCAUUUAUUAUGAAAUGUCUACAGAAGUAAUCAAUAAAUGUGGCCCUGACUUAGGGUCCUAGUGAUAAUACUGCUAAGAAAAGGUUUGAUUUGCCCUCCUUUGAAUUGGGACAAGUGAUAAUGAUGCUAGUGCUAAAAGGAGGUGAAUUGUAACGCCUUGUUCAUCAUGGCUGGAGUACCGUCGGCUUUGCCCUCCUGCCGGGGGUAGCAGUUGUAGAAGACUCCUCUGUCAUCGUGAGUCCAGGACAGGCAGCUGAAUUUCACCCUCUCCAGAGUGUCGGGCAGCUCCUUCUGAUCCGCCACCGUCAUGAACUUCACAGU